rnacentral:RNase_P_RNA from 1 species
UGAGUAAGACGGGCAAUCGCGGGUUGCCAAAUCCGAGGAAAGUCCGAACUCCAUAGAGCGGGAUGCUGGCUAACGGCCAGUGGGGGCGACCUUAAGGAAAAGUGCAACAGAAACAUACCGCCCGCGUUACCCUCGGUAGCCGGGUAAGGGUGAAAUGGUAAGGUAAGAGCUUACCAGCAAGCAGGUGACUGCUUGGCUGGGCAAACCCCAUCUGGAGCAAGAUCAAGCAGAAGGGUUAGCACAUGCGCAAUGCGUGUGUGUUAGCAGGUUGCUCGCCUGUCAACCUUCGGGUUGAUCGCAGGAGACGUUGGGCAACCAACGUCCUAGAUAGAUGAUUGCCACUCGCGUCAACGAGAGGUGGCGUGAGCACAGAAUUCGGCUUAUGUCUUACUCAACUU